CGGCGGACGGGUGAGUAACACGUGGAUAACCUACCUAUAAGACUGGGAUAACUUCGGGAAACCGGAGCUAAUACCGGAUAAUAUAUUGAACCGCAUGGUUCAAUAGUGAAAGACGGUUUUGCUGUCACUUAUAGAUGGAUCCGCGCCGCAUUAGCUAGUUGGUAAGGUAACGGCUUACCAAGGCAACGAUGCGUAGCCGACCUGAGAGGGUGAUCGGCCACACUGGAACUGAGACACGGUCCAGACUCCUACGGGAGGCAGCAGGG
rnacentral:rRNA from 1 species